rnacentral:rRNA from 1 species
GUGGGGAAUAUUGGACAAUGGGCGAAAGCCUGAUCCAGCCAUGCCGCGUGUGUGAAGAAGGUCUUCGGAUUGUAAAGCACUUUAAGUUGGGAGGAAGGGAAGUAAGUUAAUACCUUGCUGUUUUGACGUUACCGACAGAAUAAGCACCGACUAACUUCGUGCCAGCAGCCGCGGUAAUACGAAGGGUGCAAGCGUUAAUCGGAAUUACUGGGCGUAAAGCGCGCGUAGGUGGUUUUGUAAGUUGGAGGUGAAAUCCCCGGGCUCAACCUGGGAACUGCCUCCAAAACUGCAUGACUAGAGUACGGUAGAGGGUAGUGGAAUUUCCUGUGUAGCGGUGAAAUGCGUAGAUAUAGGAAGGAACACCAGUGGCGAAGGCGACUACCUGGACUGAUACUGACACUGAGGUGCGAAAGCGUGGGGAGCAAACAGGAUUAGAAACCCCGGUAGUCC